CAAUGAAUUCGAAUUGGCUGAAAUUUACCAAAAUAAGUAAACAAAUAGCAAAUAGUCACCAAGUCAAUUUUCACGUUGGGAAGAGUCUAAAUUGUGACGGUCUACGGACCGUAAAGUUGAGGCGUGUGGUUGUGACGGGUUUAGGGAUUGUGUCUUGUCUUGGUGUUGGAUCCAGACAUGUGUGGGAUAGAAUUAUCAAAGGCCAAUGUGGAAUCGGCACAAUCAAUGGAGAAGGCUUUGAAGGUAUUCCCUGUAAGGUAGCUGGUCUUAUUCCAAGGGGAGAUAAUCCUGGAGAAUUGCAGCUCAAAGAUUACAUGUCCGUCCAAGAGCAGCGCAUCAUGUCCCAGGGUUGUGCAUACGCACUUGCUGCUGUUGAGGAGGCACUUACAGAUGCAGGAUGGAAACCCAAAUCUGAGGAUGAAAAAAAUUCUACUGGGGUUGCUAUAGGUAUGGGAAUGGUAGGCAUGGAGGAGAUGUUCAACACUGGCCUCGCACUACGGGAUAGGGGUUAUACUCGGGUCAGUCCAUACUUCAUGCCAAAAAUUCUCAUCAACAUGACAGCAGGCAACAUCAGUGUCAAACAUAGCUUACAGGGCCCUAAUCAUGCUGUGUCCACUGCCUGUACCACAGGACUACAUGCUGUAGGGGAUGCCUUCAGGUUUAUUCAGCGUGGGGAUGCCAAAGUGAUGGUAGCUGGUGGAUCGGAGGAGAGUCCCAACCCUAUGUCUGUGGCUGGCUUCUCCAGGAUGAGGGCACUAAGUACAAAAUUCAAUGAUAGUCCUCAGAAGGCCUCCAGGCCAUUCGACAAAGACAGGGAUGGAUUUGUUAUGUCAGAGGGAUCGGGCAUCUUGGUGUUGGAGGAGCUUGAACAUGCAUUGGAUAGAGGGGCAGACAUAUACGCAGAAGUUUUAGGUUAUGGUCUGUCAGGUGAUGCAAAUCACAUGACCGCUCCACAGGAGGAUGGUUCUGGGGCCUACAGGUGUAUGAAAGCAGCCCUAAAUGAUGCUCAAUUCUCUGAGACAGACAUUGGGUAUAUAAAUGCUCAUGCAACCUCGACACCAUUGGGUGAUUUGGCAGAGAGCAGGGCCAUCUGGCGGCUGUUUGGAGAGAAAAAUCCGGAUGUUUUGGUGUCCUCUACUAAAGGUGCUACUGGACAUUUGUUAGGUAGUGCAGGCAGUGUGGAAGCCAUAUUUGCUGUAAUGGCCUGUUAUAGUAGGAAAAUACCCGCCACAUUAAAUCUGUGUGAAUCAGACAUUGACCUUCCACUGAAGUAUGUUAGUCAGAACUCUGUAGAUUGGCCAUCAGGGUCAGCAAGACGUUUAGCUCUCACAAACUCUUUUGGAUUUGGAGGUACAAAUGGCAGUUUGUGCAUAGGAAGUUUUCAUCAGGGCUAAUUUAGUAUAUGAUAUCUGUAGAGAACUACAUUGAGUGUCAAUAUAUGGUUACUGUUAUAUUUUAUACAUCCUUAUUGUAAGGAUAAUAAAUAUUCCAACACUAUUCUGCUUUAUUAGGAGAGCUAAAUUAUAAGGCAUUAUCUAUACAUGGUCAUUGAAAUUACAAAUAGUUUUCAUUUUUCAUUCAGACAAAUAUCCCAUAUGGAAGUUUGGUAUUAACUAAAUUGACUGGUUGUCAAGGUGAUACUAGAUGAUGUCAACAAACUGGUCAUGAGUGUCCAAUGAAAAGAUGGCUGUUAACAAGACAUAAAUAUCAUAAGUUUAGACAUUUUUGUGGACUUUCCAUAAUUUUACAUUUAUAAACAGAUAACCAAAACUAACAAUUAAUUUCACAAUUUAUUCCAUGGGUACAACAAGUUAUUUGGCAUCAAUAUGAAUAUAUAAAAAGUUAUCACAUUGAAAGCAUAUCUAAGCAGUGUAUCACAGAUCUUUAUGUAUAUCACAACAUUAUAAAAAUAUAGUUUCAUUGGAAUCAUUCUGUGGAAAUGACUUGUGAAAUUAAGCACUGAUAGCAUGUGGUCAAAGGGCAUUAUAGUAUACACUAUUACCGAUAGAUCCCAGGUAGUGAUAUAUCCUACACUUACAAUCUUCAAUAGACAUUGAUUUAACAGUUAUUCUAUCCAAGAAAUUACAAUAUUCUAAUUUCCUAAGACAUAGAAUUUUUUAGCAAUAUGCUAUUCUGGUAAUAUUGUUUUAUUCUAGUUUUUCUCUUAAACAUAUGUUCAAAAUCUCCACACAACUUCUAUAGAGUUUUUGAAAUAACAGUAACAUAAGCAUGUUUGAUAUGUUUUCAGCAGUAAACAUGUAACAAACUACUCCUGUCUGAUACUAGUUCUUCAUCCUUGAUAACAGAACAUAGGAUUCAAUGUUGUGUUAGUUUUUUGAGUUUUGUCAGUUUUGGUGACACAUUGUGAUAAUGAGACAUAUGAAGAUUUAUAAAAAUCAUAACCAGACAUAACAAACAAUAGAAAUGUAUCACGACUGUAGGUAAGUCUUUGUUUAAGCUAAUACUGGGG